UCAAGAUGCCAAGGACCAGGACACCCUCAACCAGUAACACACAAUGCUUCUUCAAUGACGUUUGUGUUCCUAGAAUCCAUUUCCCUCAGUCAGACUCUCAAAACCCAUGCAGUCCCCAAGCCUCCUCAGGCCCUGGCCACGAAGACCCCUGCCUACCGAUCUUCUGUACUAGCCCAGCACGUCGUGGACACAUUCAUCUGCACGACAGACAUCAUGGGGCACCUUCUGUGAGCAGGCGCUGGGGAGAUAAGGCCAGCCCGCCUCAGUUCCCAUGGUACUCGGAGACAGCAAGCCAGGCCACCCCAGCAUGGUGAGGUGGGCACUGUGUUCACCAAUAAAGGCGGACAAAGCACUACCUUCUCAUCAGAUAUGAAGAAUUUUCUUUUUCUUUACUCAGCACCAAAUCUCUUAGAAAAUACAAAACAGACACAUGGCUUCGUCAGAUGACAUGAGUCCACUCUAAUGGACUGCUCUAAAACUAUCAGUUAAGGACGGGUGCAUGGCUCAUGCCUGUAAUCCCAGCACUUUGGGAGGCUGAGGCAGGAGGACUGCUUGUGCCCGGAGUUCCAGCUCAGCCUGGGCAAAACGGUGAGACCCCAUCUCUACAAAAAACACAAAAAUUAGCCAGGCAUGGUGGCGUGUGCCUGUAGUUCCAGCUACUCAGGAGGCUGAGACAGAAGGAUCCCUUGAGCCCAGAAGUUCAA